rnacentral:rRNA from 1 species
AUUGAACGCUGGCGGCAGGCUUGACACAUGCAAGUCGAACGGGGUGAUGGUGCUUGCACUAUCACUUAGCGGCGGACGGGUGAGUAAUGCUUAGGAAUCUGCCUAUUAGUGGGGGACAACAUCUCGAAAGGGAUGCUAAUACCGCAUACGUCCUACGGGAGAAAGCAGGGGAUCACUUGUGACCUUGCGCUAAUAGAUGAGCCUAAGUCGGAUUAGCUAGUUGGUGGGGUAAAGGCCUACCAAGGCGAAGAUCUGUAGCGGGUCUGAGAGGAUGAUCCGCCGCGCUGGGACUGAGACACGGCCCAGACUCCUACGGGAGGCAGCAGUGGGGAAUAUUGGACAAUGGGGGGAACCCUGAUCCAGCCAUGCCGCGUGUGUGAAGAAGGCCUUAUGGUUGUAAAGCACUUUAAGCGAGGAGGAGGCUCUUUUGGUUAAUACCCAAGAUGAGUGGACGUUACUCGCAGAAUAAGCACCGGCUAACUCUGUGCCAGCCGCCGCCGUAA